CCUACGGGAGGCAGCAGUGAGGAAUAUUGGUCAAUGGACGAGAGUCUGAACCAGCCAAGUAGCGUGAAGGAUGACUGCUCUAUGGGUUGUAAACUUCUUUUAUAUGGGAAUAAAAUGUUCCACGUGUGGGAUUUUGUAUGUACCAUAUGAAUAAGGAUCGGCUAACUCCGUGCCAGCAGCCGCGGUAAUACGGAGGAUCCGAGCGUUAUCCGGAUUUAUUGGGUUUAAAGGGAGCGUAGGUGGAUUGUUAAGUCAGUUGUGAAAGUUUGCGGCUCAACCGUAAAAUUGCAGUUGAAACUGGCAGUCGUGAGUACAGUAGAGGUGGGCGGAAUUCGUGGUGUAGCGGUGAAAUGCUUAGAUAUCACGAAGAACUCCGAUUGCGAAGGCAGCUCACUGGACUGCAACUGACACUGAGGCUCGAAAGUGUGGGUAUCAAACAGGAUUAGAUACCCUAGUAGUC
rnacentral:rRNA from 1 species